rnacentral:rRNA from 1 species
AACGAACGCUGGCGGCAUGCCUAACACAUGCAAGUCGAACGAGACCUUCGGGUCUAGUGGCGCACGGGUGCGUAACGCGUGGGAACCUGCCCUUAGGUUCGGAAUACCUCCCCGACAGGGGUGCUAAUACCGGAUCAUGUCUUCGGACCAAAGAUUUAUCGCCUUUGGAUGGGCCCGCGUUGGAUUAGCUAGUUGGUAGGGUAAAAGCCUACCAAGGCGACGAUCCAUAGCUGGUCUGAGAGGAUGAUCAGCCACACUGGGACUGAGACACGGCCCAGACUCCUACGGGAGGCAGCAGUGGGGAAUAUUGGACAAUGGGCGAAAGCCUGAUCCAGCAAUGCCGCGUGAGUGAUGAAGGCCUUAGGGUUGUAAAGCUCUUUUACCCGGGAUGAUAAUGACAGUACCGGGAGAAUAAGCUCCGGCUAACUCCGUG